UUCAUUUCUAACUUCACAGGUGAAAAGAGACAAUGUUUCAACAUUCAGAAACCUUUUUAAAUUUCUAUCUGCAAUUCCACAUACUCUCAUUAAACUAAAAAAGUAAGUGGUUUAACUAAUGUUUCUGUAUAAUUUAAUGAGAAGCAAUGCAGUUUGGGCCAUUUUUAUUUUUAUAACCAAAUUGAGUGAUGAAAUAUAUGCUUUGGCUUCUUUUAUUCCUAAAGUUACAAAACCCAAGAAACUAAGAUAAGAAAGUAUCCCCCCUCUUCAUGCCCAAAGAAAUAAAAUUUAAGAGAGGGGUAAGAAGAAAGGCAGCUAUUGUAAUGAUAACAUUAGAGCUAGAAAAAUUAGCUAAUGCAGAUGUCUUCAGUAUAUCAUGAAAUGUAAGUUUGUACAUGGGUAACAAAAUUCAGAACAACUAACUUCUUACCUGGACAGCAAAAUUUCCUGUAAACGUUUCCUGGCAGGCUAAGAGUCAUGCUGUAGAGUCAGUCUUUCAAAUGGUCCUCCUGCUCUUAGCACAUGAUCUGAAAAUACAGAAGUCAUGAAUUCCCUUCAGCUCCACUCAAAGAAUGUGCCACAUUUCUCUAGCAGCAGACCACUCCUGCCACAUCUAUGUACACUCACUCUUGGACCCUGUUAAGAAUAUUUUGACACAUGUGUACCCUAACAGUGGCUUUGGGGUUUUAAGCACAAAGAGGGAAUGGCAGGGUUUAACUUCUUUAGUGUGUGUAUAUAUUAAAUAAAUAAAUAAAUAAAUAAAUAAAUAGGUGUUUCAAAUAAAAUUAAUUGGGUGAAUGUGAAUAUGUUUUGAACCAGCAAGAGUAUGAUAAACUAUCAUUAAAUUUUUUUCUUCUAAAAACUAUAUGUACAGACCACACACACACACACACACAUUAACUUUUGAUUUUGUGUGUAGUGUGUGGAGGGCUCCUUCUGUUGAAGGAUACAAUGAUCAUGUUAGUGAAAAUGUAUACAGUUACUUCAUAUUGUCACCGUACUCUGCCCCCUUUUUUAGGUAGCAGAACAUCUGUGUCAAGAUUAGGGAGAACAUUAAAAAAAAAUCAGAUGAGUUUCAGAUGAAAAACAUUUUAAAAAUUGCAACAAAAUCUCUGAUCUGAAUAAUUACCUGUUUUGAGGAAAGGGCCAAUAAAUUUGGGGGGAUUUAUUUUUCCUUUAUCAAGACCAAUUUUUGCUAAUCCCUUUUGUAGUCCAACCUAAUCCUAAAAACAACAGUUAUUAGGCCUGCAUAACAUCCCAUUACCAUAUCAAGCCCUACAAAUGUAAUUAACACACUUGUUUAAGAGCGGUUUAAUUCUUAAAUGCUUUAACUCUACCUAUUUAAUGAGUUGGUUGUUCAAUGUUGAAAUGGUCAAUGUCUGUGUUUGGUGGCUUGUGUUCAUUUUUCUCACUGUGGAAGUGGUCAGCUCUAGAGUAAUUUGCUGUAUGCUUAUUACUUUCCACCUUUAGUGUUUUGUGUACCAAUGCUAUGUAUUCCUAUAUUUAUAUAUAUAUAUAUACAUAUAUUAUCAGAAUGAUCUUGCUCUGGACUGUUGUUCUCAAACUAUGGCUAUGAUGUAGAGAUGACAACGGCUGCUGGGAAUGUGGUGGAAUCAAUUCCCACGGUGCAGGUUAAUCAUGGGCUGGAAGAUCUUUCAACCUCAUCUGUUUUCUAUGAUGCUUUUUGUUAUGUAGGCACUGCCAUCCUGAAUCUACCUUGUAAAGAUGCAGUCAAUUUCAAAGGAAGACAAAGCCACUGCUGUCUGUACACUGUAAAUAUGUAUUUUGGCACUUGUACUCCAGUAUUCUGAAAGCAGAGCUAUGAUGGAAAUGCUGACAGAUCUUUGAUGGUGGCCAAAGCUACCCUACAAAAAUAAAUUAAGUAAAAAUGUAUUCUGAGAUUAGCAGUGCAAGGCCAACAUGUUUUACAAAUCUGUCAGUAUCUUUCUAAUGGAGUGUGUAUGUGUAGUUAUGUUGAAAGAUACACUGUGUAUGUGUGUACAUGCUUUUAUGUGAACUACAAGGCACAUAGAAAAUGUAUUUCCCAUCUCUAAAUCCCAUGUGGAAAUGUUAAGUACAGAUGGACAGAAAUAGGUGUUUUACUUAAAUUCAUACCCAA
rnacentral:lncRNA from 1 species